ensembl:misc_RNA 7SK 7SK RNA
AAAUGUGAGAGCGAUCUGGCUGUGACAUCAGCCACCCCAUUCUCACCAGGGUUGAUUGAACUGAUCUGGCUGGGUAGGUGGGUGUCCCUUUCUCCAUCACUGAUCCAUGUGGGUUCUUUCUGAAGCUGCAUGCUCAGUCAAAGAGGACAACCACCCCUGACAGAAGAGGACCAUUUCUUCAGUCUUGUGUAUACAAAUAGCUACACUCCACUGCUAAAACCUCUAAACAAGCUCUCAAAAUUAAAAAUAAAGUUAAAUACCUUCAACAUAUAAUGGCACAGAGAAAAAAAUCCCACUCCAAAAAUGGAGGGGUAGUGGGAU